ensembl:piRNA 21ur-3168 ncRNA
UAUUACGGCCGUACAGCAAAU